UACGUAGGGGGCAAGCGUUGUCCGGAAUCAUUGGGCGUAAAGCGCGUGUAGGCGGCUCGGUAAGUCUGCUCUGAAAGUCCAAGGCUCAACCUUGGGAUGCGGGUGGAUACUGCCGGGCUCGAGUCCGGAAGAGGCGAGUGGAAUUCCUGGUGUAGCGGUGAAAUGCGCAGAUAUCAGGAGGAACACCGGUGGCGAAGGCGGCCCUCUGGACGGUGACUGACGCUGAGACGCGAAAGCGUGGGGAGCAAACAGG
rnacentral:rRNA from 1 species